UCUGAUAAUAUGUCAGAGAAAGGAUGAUCUGCUUCAGGUGAUCCUGGAUCACAGAGCCAUGACCAUCUCAAUGGUUGGAUGUCAGGAGCAGAAUAUGUCAAUGACUAGCAGACAGGAAAUCUUUUCAUGCCAUCCGUAGAACAAUAAAGGAAGCCAAAUGGAA